rnacentral:pre_miRNA from 1 species
UGCUCAAAUUUGAAAUACAGUAGAUUAGUAGGGUGAGAUGACCCUUCUAAUCUACUCUACUUCAAAUUUGAGCCA